CCUACGGGAGGCAGCAGUGGGGAAUAUUGGACAAUGGGCGAAAGCCUGAUCCAGCCAUGCCGCGUGUGUGAAGAAGGCCUUCGGGUUGUAAAGCACUUUCAGUGGGGAAGAAAGCCUUGGGGCUAAUACCCUCGAGGAAGGACAUCACCCACAGAAGAAGCACCGGCUAACUCCGUGCCAGCAGCCGCGGUAAUACGGAGGGUGCGAGCGUUAAUCGGAAUUACUGGGCGUAAAGCGCGCGUAGGCGGUCUGAUAAGCCGGUUGUGAAAGCCCCGGGCUCAACCUGGGAACGGCAUCCGGAACUGUCAGGCUAGAGUGCAGGAGAGGAAGGUAGAAUUCCUGGUGUAGCGGUGAAAUGCGUAGAGAUCGGGAGGAAUACCAGUGGCGAAGGCGGCCUUCUGGACUGACACUGACGCUGAGGUGCGAAAGCGUGGGUAGCAAACAGGAUUAGAUACCCUAGUAGUC
rnacentral:rRNA from 1 species